UGAAAACGUUUUAAAAUAGAGACGUUCUUGAAUUUCGUUUAAAAGGAAAAGAAUUGCCAAAUGAUUUUGGAAGGAGAUUAUUCUUUUUCAUUUCAACGAAAAAAAAAUAUAUAAGGAGGAAGAACAAGA
rnacentral:sRNA from 16 species